rnacentral:rRNA from 1 species
ACAACUCUUUGCGGUGGAUCACUCGGCUCGCGAGU